GUGUAGAAGGCGCCAGGUCGCCGUAGUCUCGCUCGUCUCCGUGCAUUCCGCGAUCUCCGUGCCCGUCGACCACCGUGGUGCUCGCCGGCGACGGACGGAGCGAGAAUGCAGGGCGGAUCUAGCGGCAUCGUCUACGGCGGCCUCAAGUACCAGGCGCGGUGCAUCGCCGACGUGCGCGCGGCCGCCGGGUCGACCACCUUCCUCGCCGGAACCCUCAGUCUCAAGGAGGAGAACGAGGUGCACCUGAUCCGGUUUUCACCGGCGGAGAGCGAGCUGGUGUGCGACGGGCUGUUCUACCAUCCAAACGAGAUCUGGGACCUUAAGUCUUGCCCCUUCGAUCAUAGGGUCUUCUCCACAGUCUACACGUCUGGCGAGGGCUAUGGUGCAUCUGUUUGGAAGAUCCCGGAGCUGCACGGGCAGUCGAAUUCGCCGCCACUUGAGCAGCUUUUCACGCUUGAUGAGCACACGGGCAAAAUAAGAUGUGUUCUCUGGUGGCCACUAGGGAAGCACGACAAGUUAAUUAGUAUUGAUGACAGAAAUAUUUUCCUCUGGAAUAUAGAUGCAUCAAAUAAGUCAGCCAAGGUGAUGCAAAAGGGGUCUGCUGACAUGCUUCCCAAUUUACGUGGUGGAUCUUGGGAUCCACACGAUCACAAUUCAAUUGCUGCAAUUACUGAUUCCUCACUUCACUGCUGGGAUCUCCGUUCUAUGAAGAAAUCAAAUGCAAUUGAGCAUGCGCAUUUUCGGGAUGUGGAUUAUAACCCCAAGAAACAGCACUUAAUUACAACAGCAGAAGAUGAAUUUGGUAUCCGUUUGUGGGAUCUCAGAAUGCUUAAGUAUCCUCUGAAGAAUCUCCCUGGGCAUUCGCAUUGGACAUGGGCUGUUCGGCACAAUCCUGAGCAUGACCAGUUGAUUCUGAGUGCUGGAACAGAUUCAACUGUCAAUUUGUGGUUUGCUAAAGUUGGCACUGAUGACUCAGGACCUGAAAGUCCUCCUGGUUCACCCACAAGAGAAGAAGAACCAUUACUAAAUUCAUACACUGAUUAUGAAGAUAGCAUAUACGGUAUUGCAUGGAGCUCCCAUGAUCCGUCAUUAUUUGCUUCUUUAUCUUAUGACGGAAGGGUUGUUUUAGAAUCAGUCAAGCCCUACUUGCAGAGAAAAUGAAGCUGCAUGUUCUCUCCGUUGUAAGGGCACAUAACUCCACUUCUUUGCUCGACUUGUUUGUUGUGCAUAUUAUUGGUGUUGUAGAUUUUCUCCUUGCCAUCCUAUAUACUGUACUCUGGUACAUGGAGUUGAUGCGAUGGCCUGAUUCGACAGCUUGUGACCCCAGAACAAUAGCAAGCCAAUAAUGUUUCAGUAACCAUCUUGGCAGAAAUCCAGUGUCUCAUAUGAUCUGCCACUCUUGUGAUUCAGGCCAGCUGUAAUUGCAAAAUUCAGCCUGGUACAAUUGCCAAAUACUGCUCCUCGAGUGAUUCUUGAAUGUCAUAUAUCUGAGAAAGGUUGGUGUCAAUUGUUGCGUUAUGUGGUGAAGUACAACCGAUCUGAAUUUUGUAGAACUGUUGAGAUUGACAAGAUCUGAGCUUCUGUUUUUCAUUCGAUUUUUCACUGUAUGAGUGGUUCCCUUACUUUAGCAAAGAUUAAUAUUUCGUCUGUAUGUUACAAAAUCAUUCAGGGAAUGAGCAAAUUAACUUCAAA